UGGGGAAUAUUGGACAAUGGGCGAAAGCCUGAUCCAGCAAUGCCGCGUGAGUGAUGAAGGCCUUAGGGUUGUAAAGCUCUUUUACCAGGGAUGAUAAUGACAGUACCUGGAGAAUAAGCUCCGGCUAACUCCGUGCCAGCAGCCGCGGUAAUACGGAGGGAGCUAGCGUUGUUCGGAAUUACUGGGCGUAAAGCGUACGUAGGCGGUUAUUCAAGUCAGAGGUGAAAGCCUGGAGCUCAACUCCAGAACUGCCUUUGAAACUAGAUAGCUAGAAUCACGGAGAGGUUAGUGGAAUUCCGAGUGUAGAGGUGAAAUUCGUAGAUAUUCGGAAGAACACCAGUGGCGAAGGCGACUAACUGGACGUGUAUUGACGCUGAGGUACGAAAGCGUGGGGAGCAAACAGGAUUAGAUACCCUGGUAGUCCACGCCGUAAACGAUGAUAACUAGCUGUUCGGUCUCUACGAGCCUCAGUGGCGCAGCUAACGCAUUAAGU
rnacentral:rRNA from 1 species